UACGUAGGGUGCAAGCGUUAAUCGGAAUUACUGGGCGUAAAGCGUGCGCAGGCGGUUCGCUAAGACAGAUGUGAAAUCCCCGGGCUUAACCUGGGAACUGCAUUUGUGACUGGCGGGCUAGAGUAUGGCAGAGGGGGGUAGAAUUCCACGUGCAGCAGUGAAAUGCGUAGAGAUGUGGAGGAACACCGAUGGCGAAGGCAGCCCCCUGGGUCAAAACUGACGCCCAUGCACGAAAGCGUGGGGAGCAAACAGG
rnacentral:rRNA from 1 species